rnacentral:rRNA from 1 species
AAUGAACGCUGGCGGCGUGCUUAACACAUGCAAGUCGAACGAGAACGGUCCUAGCUUGCUAGGAUGUCAGCUAAGUGGCGCACGGGUGAGUAAUAUAUAGGUAAUCUGCCCCGAAGAGCGGGAUAACGUCUGGAAACGGACGCUAAUACUGCAUAUACCUUUUUUCCAUAAGGAGAAAAGGGAAAUGAAUUUUGCUUCGGGAUGAGCCUUUAUCGCAUCAGCUAGUUGGUAAGGUAACGGCUUACCAAGGCUAUGACGCGUAGCUGAUCUGAGAGGAUGAUCAGCCACACUGGUACUGAGACACGGACCAGACUCCUACGGGAGGCAGCAGUGGGGAAUAUUGCACAAUGGAGGAAACUCUGAUGCAGCAACGCCGCGUGGAGGAUGACACAUUUCGGUGCGUAAACUCCUUUUAUAAGGGAAGAAAAUGACGGUACCUUAUGAAUAAGCACCGGCUAACUCCGUGCCAGCAGCCGCGGUAAUACGGAGGGUGCAAGCGUUAUUCGGAAUCACUGGGCGUAAAGGGUAUGUAGGCGGGUUCUUAAGUCAGAUGUGAAAGCCCACGGCUCAACCGUGGAACUGCAUUUGAAACUGAGAACCUAGAAUAUGGAAGGGGCAGAUGGAAUUAGUGGUGUAGGGGUAAAAUCCGUAGAGAUCACUAGGAAUACCGAAAGCGAAGGCGAUCUGCUGGUACAUUAUUGACGCUAAGAUACGAAAGCGUGGGGAGCAAACAGGAUUAGAUACCCUGGUAGUCCACGCCCUAAACGAUGAAUGUUAGUCGUCGGAACGCUUGUCGUUUCGGUGAUGCAGUUAACACAUUAAGCAUUCCGCCUGGGGAGUACGGUCGCAAGAUUAAAACUCAAAGGAAUAGACGGGGACCCGCACAAGUGGUGGAGCAUGUGGUUUAAUUCGAAGAUACGCGAAGAACCUUACCUAGACUUGACAUACCGAGAAUCCUGCAGAGAUGCGGGAGUGCUAGCUUGCUAGAAUUCGGAUACAGGUGCUGCACGGCUGUCGUCAGCUCGUGUCGUGAGAUGUUGGGUUAAGUCCCGCAACGAGCGCAACCCUCGUCGUUAGUCGCUAACAGUUCAGCUGAGCACUCUAACGAGACUGCCUUCGCAAUGAGGAUGAAGGUGAGGACGACGUCAAGUCAUCAUGGCCCUUAUGUCUAGGGCGACACACGUGCUACAAUGGGGUGUACAGAGAGUCGCAAUACCGCGAGGUGGAGCCAAUCUCUAAAGCAUCUCUCAGUUCGGAUAGCACUCUGCAACUCGAGUGCUUGAAGCUGGAAUCACUAGUAAUCGCGGAUCAGCCAUGCCGCGGUGAAUACGUUCCCGGGUCUUGUACUCACCGCCCGUCACACCAUGGGAGUUGAUUUCACCCGAAACCGGGAAGCCAACCUUCGGGAGGCUACCGUUCACGGUGGAAUUAGCGACUGGGGUGAAGUCGUAACAAGGUAACC